UUUAAACAAAUAAAAAGUAAAUCAUUACCAACCUUCUUUUAUGAACAAAAUGAACAUUGAACUGAAUAUACAAAAGGCACCACUAAAAAAAAUAGAACGACAACUACAUUAUAAAGUGCAGUUUUGUACUCAUAUUUUCUUUCAAC